rnacentral:rRNA from 1 species
GUGCCAGCAGCCGCGGUAAUACGGAGGGUGCAAGCGUUGUCCGGAAUCACUGGGUGUAAAGGGUGUGUAGGCGGGGCUGUAAGUCAGAAGUGAAAUCCCACGGCUCAACCGUGGAACUGCCUUUGAUACUGCAGCUCUUGAGUCCCGGAGAGGUGGCUGGAAUUCGUGGUGUAGCGGUGAAAUGCGUAGAUAUCACGAGGAACACCAGAGGUGUAGACGGGUCACUGGACGGGUACUGACGCUGAUGCACGAAAGCGGGGGGAGCAAACAGGAUUAGAUACCCUGGUAGUCCACGCCGUAAACGAUGGAUGCUCGGUGUUGCCCCGCCUUUAGGGGCAGUGCCUAAGCUAACGCGUUAAGCAUCCCACCUGGGGAGUACGCUCGCAAGAGUGAAACUUAAAUGAAUUGGCGGGG